rnacentral:rRNA from 1 species
CACGUAGGGGGCAAGCGUUGUCCGGAAUUAUUGGGCGUAAAGAGCUCGUAGGCGGCUUGUCACGUCGGGUGUGAAAGCCCGGGGCUUAACCCCGGGUCUGCAUUCGAUACGGGCUAGCUAGAGUGUGGUAGGGGAGAUCGGAAUUCCUGGUGUAGCGGUGAAAUGCGCAGAUAUCAGGAGGAACACCGGUGGCGAAGGCGGAUCUCUGGGCCAUUACUGACGCUGAGGAGCGAAAGCGUGGGGAGCGAACAGG